rnacentral:rRNA from 1 species
UACAGGGGGGGCAAGCGUUGUUCGGAAUUACUGGGCGUAAAGGGUCUGUAGGUGGCCAACUAAGUCAGACGUGAAAUCCCUCAGCUUAACUGGGGAACUGCGUCUGAUACUGGAUGGCUUGAGUGUGGGAGAGGAAUGCGGAAUUCCAGGUGUAGCGGUGAAAUGCGUAGAUAUCUGGAGGAACACCGGUGGCGAAGGCGGUCUGCUGGGCAGUUUCUGACACUGAGGCGCGACAGCGUGGGGAGCAAACAGG